UACCUACGGGACGCAGCAGUGGGGAAUAUUGCGCAAUGGACGAAAGUCUGACGCAGCGACGCCGCGUGAGGGAUGAAGGUUUUCGGAUCGUAAACCUCUGUCAGGAGGGAAGAAAGCGUAUGGCGCCAAUCAGCCAUGCGUUGACGGUACCUCCAAAGGAAGCGCCGGCUAACUCCGUGCCAGCAGCCGCGGUAAUACGGAGGAUGCGAGCGUUAUCCGGAUUUAUUGGGUUUAAAGGGUGCGUAGGCGGUCCGUUAAGUCAGCGGUAAAAUUGCGGGGCUCAACCCCGGCGAGCCGUUGAAACU
rnacentral:rRNA from 1 species